GUUUAGUUGUGUGGGUGUUCAGCACCAAGGACAGGUAUGUUAGCGUAUGGGUGAAUGGUGUUCAGCACCAAAGACAGGAUUAUUUACCU
rnacentral:pre_miRNA from 1 species